rnacentral:tRNA from 1 species
GAGGGUGUAGCUCAGUGGCAGAGUGCACGCUUAGCAUGCAUGAGGUCCUGGUUUCAAUCCCCAGUGUCACCA